rnacentral:tRNA from 1 species
CCUGGGCUAUUAGCUCAGGUGGUUAGAGCGCACCCCUGAUAAGGGUGAGGUCCCUGGUUCAAGUCCAGGAUGGCCCAUUCGGUGUUGGGGGUUUAGCUCAGUUGGUAGAGCGCCUGCUUUGCAAGCAGGAUGUCAGGAGUUCGAGUCUCCUAACCUCCACUGACCGAACUGUAUCCCCAUCUCCAAAAGGAAUUGGAGUAUGAGUUCGAUUGGAGUGUGAUUUUAGACGUGUCCGCUGGAUGACCCCAGCUUCCUGUCAUUCCAAAUGAAAGCAAAGAGAGUUUUGCUUGUUGUGUUUGGUUGAUAAGAUGCUGGGCUCAAGUCAAAUGAUCAAGCAAUUGAUGGUUUGAUUUGAAGUUCUAGCAGAACCUUGACAACUGCAUAGGUAAGUCUGGAAAGAAUAAAGCAUCCCAUGGAUGAUGCGAUGACUCUAGAUGAUGAUCCGAAAGGAUAAUUAAAAGGAGUGAUUGCGAAUUCUAUAGAGCAAGAGCCGAGACUCCAUCACGUUCUUUUGAUUGUGUCGAGCAAUCAAGAGUUUGAUUCUUGAUUCAGCAAUGAAUCAGGGAAAAUCUGUUUCAACGACAGCAAGCGUGUUGGAGAUUAUAUGGUCAAGCUACAAAGAGCUCACGGCGGAUACCUUGGCACACAGAGGCGAUGAA